rnacentral:rRNA from 1 species
UACGGAGGGAGCAAGCGUUAUUCGGAAUCACUGGGCGUAAAGGACGCGUAGGCGGGUUGGUAAGUCAGAUGUGAAAUCCUACAGCUCAACUGUAGAACGGCAUUUGAAACUACCGACCUAGAGUAUGGAAGGGGCAGAUGGAAUUAGUGGUGUAGGGGUAAAAUCCGUAGAUAUCACUAGGAAUACCGAAAGCGAAGGCGAUCUGCUGGGACAUUACUGACGCUGAGGCGUGAAAGCGUGGGGAGCAAACAGGAUUAGAUACCCUGGUAGUCCACGCCCUAAACGAUGAACACUAGUCGUCGGAGUACACGUUACUUCGGUGAUGCACUUAACAGAUU